rnacentral:lncRNA from 1 species
GGGCUCAGGGGCCGAGAGGGAGCUGGGCUUGGGGCGGGGCCGAGACGGAGCGAGGGGUCCAGGGUGUGAGAAACGGGGAGGGGUUUGAGGAGGGGAUUGGAGUGUGGCUCAAGUUCGGGAGGCGUUACCUGCGGAGGGUUUGAGGCAGGCCCAGGAGCGAGCCCACGGUCUGCCGACGCGGGGCCAGCGGCGGGCCCCAGGAUCCGGAGCUUCGGGCGGGGCCGAGUCCAGGUUUGGGGCCCGGGAGGUGGGGCCGGUUAGGGCGAGGGUCCCCGGGAUCGUAGUGUCAGGCCUUGGGCCAACGUAGGCACUCGCAGUUCCUCCGCCUUCAGGAAGGUCUUUUUGGCAGGGGCCUUACGGGUGCGCGCUUCGGUCCUGGAGGCGUUAUCCUAGCCUCCUCUCCAUCAGCGCCACCCGUCUGGGGCCCGAUAGGAGGGAGCUUUCUGUCUGUCCCCCAGCCUUUGGACUGUCACCAAACAAGCCAUCCGUUCACCAAAUACUUAUUAAGCGCCUACCAUGUGUCUGGCAAGGGAGGUGUAACAGUGAGAAAAACUAGGUGUGGUCCAGGCCCUCCAGGGGCUCAGGGGCUCGUGGAAGAAGUGGACAUUGAAGUACUUACCACACAAAUGAGCAUGAAAGUACAAUAGCAAUAUCUGCCACGAAGCUGUUGUUCCCCACCAGAACCAAAUGAGCGCAAGAUCUGACAAAGAAAAAAAAAGGUUCAUCUUUUAUUCCGCCAAACACUUUCAUCUAAAUCAAGAGGGUGGGAUGUGGUUAUUGCUGUGUUUUUAGACAGAAUCAACAGUUUCUGGGUCUGAGAUAUUGCAUACACCCUCUCAGUCCCUGUAUCCUCAGAUGGAGUCACCUGAGAAUCCACAGCAAGUCCUAACCGGGGAUGGGUCUGGGUGGUUAAGGAAGGUUGGCCUCAGAACUGGGCCAGGGGCACUGCUUUGCUUUUGCUGUUU